UACGGAGGGUGCAAGCGUUGUCCGGAAUCACUGGGCGUAAAGGGCGCGUAGGCGGCUCAUGAAGGCUGUGGUGAAAGUCCGGGGCUCAACCUCGGAUCGGCCGUGGCGACUCGUGGGCUGGAGCACUGUAGAGGCGGGUGGAAUUCCGGGUGUAGCGGUGGAAUGCGCAGAUAUCAGGAGGAACACCGGUGGCGAAGGCGGGUCUCUGGGCAGUAACUGACGCUGAGGAGCGAAAGCGUGGGGAGCGAACAGG
rnacentral:rRNA from 1 species